rnacentral:rRNA from 1 species
UACAGAGGUCUCAAGCGUUGUUCGGAUUCAUUGGGCGUAAAGGGUGCGUAGGCGGCGCGGGUAAGUCGGGUGUGAAAUCUCGGAGCUUAACUCCGAAACUGCAUUCGAUACUGCCGUGCUUGAGGACUGGAGAGGAGACUGGAAUUUACGGUGUAGCGGUGAAAUGCGUAGAUAUCGUAAGGAAGACCAGUGGCGAAGGCGGGUCUCUGGACAGUUCCUGACGCUGAGGCACGAAGGCCAGGGGAGCAAACGGG